UACGUAGGGGGCAAGCGUUGUCCGGAAUUAUUGGGCGUAAAGAGCGUGUAGGCGGUCCGGUAAGUCGGCUGUGAAAGUCCAGGGCUCAACCCUGGGAUGCCGGUCGAUACUGCCGGACUAGAGUUCGGAAGAGGCGAGUGGAAUUCCCGGUGUAGCGGUGAAAUGGCGCAGAUAUCGGGGAGGAACACCUAUGGCGAAGGCAGCUCGCUGGGACGUUACUGACGCUGAGACGCGAAAGCGUGGGGAGCGAACAGG
rnacentral:rRNA from 1 species